UUCCUGUUUCCCGUUUUCUUUAUUCAUUCAUUUUCUAUUCCUCGCUUUUCUUUAUUUUUUUUUUUAUUUAAUCUUCGUUCUUUUUUUUCAGUUUUUCGUCACAAGCUCCGUGUCUGUGUUGGUCGCCGCCUGCUCCCUUUUUGCCGUGGUCAUCAUCAUCAUCACCACCACCACCAUCACCAUCUUCCUGUGUCUACUUUUUUUACGAUGAUACGAUUCCUCAUUUCCCUUCCGGUCCCUGCGCUGGCUUCCCUUGCACCUGAGACAGCCCUGCAGGAAAAGAACCCCGUGGUGAGCUAAGGAAAAGUUAGCGUGAGAUGCACAAAGUCAUCGAAAUAUAAGCGACAGGAACGCCAGUCUGAGCAGAGUAUAAACAUGGUAAAGUCUGUGUGAGUUUGAGUCAGCCGAAGCUCCACCAAAGCGUCUUUCUAACCAACCUAGCUCACUGUAGCUCUUUAAACUGUAAACAACACUUUGUAACGGCAAGAAUACAAAAUAAAGGGUCAUUGUGAACCUUGAACUAGAAGUGCCUGACUGGAUUGGCUGUUAUGAAGUACAUGGCUAAUAGAACGGGACACCCUUUACAUCAGUGUUCUUGUGAAGAUAGUGUCCUCAAAUAAUGUUAUCAUGCAAGAAGCAAGAUCAUGUGAACACUGCAAGAUUGGGUCUUCAGACACAGUUAUGUUGGCACCAGUUGGACCUGUAUACUAUGCCUGCCCAGGAUACCCCAGCAGGUCCCCACCUCACACUGAAGAGUGGCUUACCUAAGGAACUGUACAGUCUGGAUUCAACAGCUUCCCAAGUUUCCCUGCUACAAUUGUACCAGCAUCCUGUCUGCUCAGCUCACUACUAGUGAAAAGGAUCGACAAAAGUGGUACCCCAAUGGCCAAAAGAACUGUACUAAGUCCAAAAUACUCCGAAGAAAUAUUACAUUAUGGAAAUUGUUUAAAGGUUUUUGUUUAUUAUUAGCAUGAUCUAGUUGUGUCAGUCUUAACAGUCCAGAUUGUACAGACAUGAACCAUUGUUCACUGCACUUCCUGCAGAUGUAACUUCAGUCAUUACUGCAAGGUGUGUGUUGUGUAAUUAGGUUUAUAUACAUUUUUGAGUGAGAAUAUUUAGACUAAUUAAAUAGUAAGUUUCUCAACUUUCUAGAUCUUUGCUGUUACUGUUGUGUGUGAGAUUUCAGGGGCUGUAUUCUACAAACCGUCAUAGGUAAUGAAGUGAUCGUAGCAAGGCAAAAUGGUGCAUUUUAUACACAAGUCCCUCUAUAACAGGCUCUCACCUUGUGACUCGUCAUAAGUGCUAAGACAGGGUUCACCCUGUUGUAGUGCCGCCAACCGCCGUCUUAAAACUUUUGUCAACAUGGUGGGAAGUUGGCUGUGUGUACUAUAACAUGAUCCUCGACAGUUUUUAUUAUUAAUUAAUGAUAAAUAUCCAUAAUGAUGACUAAAUAAUACCCUUUAAUUUACCAUUAUAGAUAACUGCCGAGAAGGGUACGAUCAGUUUUCCCAAAACUCAAACAAACCUUGCCCUGCGUGGCCUGCAUGUGUCAUGUGUCAAUGUAUCGGGCGUUCGGGCCUAUCUUCUCCAGUUUGUCAUGUUUCUUUUGUUCGAUACACAGUCUAACUAUUCCCAAAGUAGUAAUAUGAUGUCUAAAUAAUAUAAAUUGUAGAAAAUUAUAUCAAGGAACUAUUUUUUUUUUUUUUCUAUACAUGCAUAAAGUUGACAAGUAAUGAGCCUAAAGACCAACAGUGGAGUAACAGUCAGGCAUUCAGUGAGACCUGAGGCUGACUGUGUAGAACGCGGCCCCAGAAUGGUGAUCUGUGUUUUGUAUAUUUAUGGUGACAAUAUAGUGUUGCAAGGGAGAACAUGCUGUUUGAGAGCAAUGCCAUUGUGAAAUGCUUAAAAAUCAUUUUAGAAAGUUCCUCCUCAACUUUUGCAAUGAAAAUGGUCUAGGAAUACUUUUAGAACUUGUAAUUACUAACAAGAUUUGUGCAAUGAAAAUGCUCUCAAAAUACUACUCAUGUUCUUAUAUUCAUUUUUUUUUUCUGUUAUGUUAGACAAAUGUAUGGAUGGCAAUGAUGGAGUGAGGUAGACAUGUUCACACAGGAACUGCUGCCAUGUAUGUGCAGGCUCUUGGUGCCUCUUCCAGCUUUCCUCAUUUUUGUUUCUAUAAUACUUUAAAAUAAUUUUGUAAUUUGAGAAUAUUGCCAGAGUAAUGUAAUGCUUGAAAAAAGUUGUCCCAAGUUAAAAAUUGCAUAAAUUGUUCGAAGUUGAAAAUGUACAAGAUGUCCAAAAUUGUACAAGUUCUGGUAUUCCACUGUAAAAAAUAGAAUUUAAGUCGAAAAUUUAAGAUUGUCAAACUGUAAACAUUUUCAAGGUGUAAAAUUUUAGUAGUUUUUGGAAAAAUUUUCUAAGAAUUUGGUUGAAAAAAUUGUCAAAUUGUAAACAUUUUCAAAGUGUAAAAUUUUUUGGAAAAAUUUUGUCAAGAAAUUGGUUGGAAAAAUUUUAGUAGUUUUUGGAAAAAUUUUCUAAGUCAAGAAAUUGGUUGGAAAGGAAAAAUUUUCUAAGUCAAGAUGGUUGGAAAGGAAAAAUUUUCUAAGUCAAGAAAUUGGUUGGAAAAUUUUCUAAGUUGAAAAUUUUGGUAGAGUUUUCUGAAAUUUAAGGUGAAAUUUAUAAAAGUUUUCUAUCAAAAAUGGUAAAUUCUACUAUUGCACUGUAAAAAUUUUCUAAGUUGAAAAUUUUGGUAGAGUUUUCUGAGAUUUAUGUAAAAAUGUGUUGAUUGAAUAAAAGUGAAGGAAGGGAGACU